rfam:Echinococcus granulosus EG_S00130, whole genome shotgun sequence.
ACCUAAAUAGCUCAGUCGGUAGAGCAUCGCACUUUUAAUCUGAGGGUCCAGGGUUCGAGUCCCUGUUCGGGAG